rnacentral:misc_RNA from 1 species
UCCGGUUUGAAACCGCCGGUGAAAGCCGGUUUUGUAGCAAUACACAGAUCGUAAGGUGCUGCAUGGCUGUCGUCAGCUCGUGCCGUGAGGUGUUGGGCUAAGUCCCGCAACGAGCGCAACCCCUAUCAGUAGUUGCCAUCAGGUAAUGCUGGGAACUCUACUGAAACUGCCGCCGUAAGGCGCGAGGAAGGUGGGGAUGAC